AAGGAUCAUUAACGCAUCUCCGACGGGGAGCGGUGCGCCCAGCUCCGGCCCAACUGGCCGUGCAGCGGGUGCCCGUCGCCGUCCAAACCUCACAAACCCACUGUGAACCUUCACGGCAGAGGGAGGGGCGACCCUCCCGAUGCCGCACACCAAACUCCAGUUGUAAAGAAUGUCGUGCGGACGUCGAGCCGCCUAAAAACACAAAACAACUUUCAACAACGGAUCUCUUGGCUCUCGCAUCGAUGAAGAACGCAGCGAAAUGCGAUAAGUAAUGUGAAUUGCAGAAUUCAGUGAAUCAUCGAAUCUUUGAACGCACCUUGCGCUCCUUGGUAUUCUGAGGAGCAUGCCUGUUUGAGUGUCAUUAAUAUAUCAACUUCUUCAGCUUUUUUGUUUGUUGAAUGUUGGAUGUGGGGGUUUUUUGCUGGCCUUUUCAAGGGUCAGCUCUCCUCAAAUAUAUUAGCGGAACAAUCUGUCGACCGUUCAUUGGUGUGAUAACUAUCUACGCUAUUGAUCGUGAGGCAAGUUUUUAGCUUCUAAUAGUCCAUUGACUUGGACAACUUUUAUUUAAUGUGACCUCAAAUCAGGUAGGACUACCCGCUGAACUUAA
rnacentral:rRNA from 1 species